UCAUAUGCAACCACCAGUGAUUAAUCCAGCAAUGACAUCUGGAUGUUAUUGUCUCUUGUUAUCAUGUGUAGCAACUUUUUUUUUUAUUUUUUCGCUAACUUUUGGCUACUACUAUGUUGGCUAAUAUAAACUUUUCAAUGGAUGGAUCGAACGAUUCUUGUUCUAGUAAUGGUGUAGAACGAUGAAGUAUCCAUGACUGUGUUUGUUCGUUUGAAUCACUAUUCUUAUCCAAA
rnacentral:lncRNA from 1 species